rnacentral:tRNA from 1 species
GGUCUUGUAGUCGAAACUUUAAGACAUCAGGCUGCAAUCCUGAAAGUGUAAUUAUAACCUUGGCCU